rnacentral:rRNA from 1 species
UACAGAGGGUGCAAGCGUUAAUCGGAAUUAUUGGGCGUAAAGGGCUUGUAGGUGGUUCUUUAAGUUAGAUGUGAAAGCCCUGGGCUCAACCUGGGAACUGCAUCCAAAACUACUGAGCUAGAGUACGGUAGAGGGUAGUGGAAUUUCCUGUGUAGCGGUGAAAUGCGUAGAUAUAGGAAGGAACACCAGUGGCGAAGGCGACUACCUGGACUGAUACUGACACUGAGGUGCGAAAGCGUGGGGAGCAAACAGGAUUAGAUACCCUUGUAGU